rnacentral:rRNA from 1 species
CCUACGGGGGGCAGCAGUGAGGAAUCUUGCGCAAUGGGCGAAAGCCUGACGCAGCGACGCCGCGUGAGGGAUGAAGGCCUUCGGGUUGUAAACCUCUGUCAGGGGGGAAGAACCCGGAGUCGAUGAAUAAUCGGCUCCGUUGACGGUACCCCCAGAGGAAGCACCGGCUAACUCCGUGCCAGCAGCCGCGGUAAGACGGAGGGUGCAAACGUUGUUCGGAAUCACUGGGCGUAAAGGGCGCGUAGGCGGACUUGUAAGUCGGGAGUGAAAACUCGGGGCUCAACCCCGAGCCUGCUUCCGAAACUGCGAGUCUUGAGGACCGGAGAGGAAAGUGGAAUUCCUAGUGUAGCGGUGGAAUGCGUAGAUAUUAGGAAGAACACCAGUGGCGAAGGCGACUUUCUGGACGGUUCCUGACGCUGAGGCGCGAAAGCUAGGGGAG